CGCUGAAUAUUCUCCUCUACUGUGGACACGCUCAAGAUGCUUUGCUGCAUAUUGAGCCAAACUGGUCCCCUUUAUUUACUGGAGAGAAAGUUACCUUCAUAUGUGACUCAAGGGAAGAAAACGACACUGACUGGAAUUACUCAUUCAGUCGGAAUGAUCAUUUCUUUACCACCAACAGAACAGUAAAUAGGUAUAAAUCAUCAUCUCUAACUAGAGGAGAUAGUGGUGAAUAUCAGUGUGUUGCUGAUCACAAGAUCCGUCCUGUUAGAAGAGAAAGUAAUAAAGUCUCUCUAAGUGUAUCAGAUGUCCCUCGUCCUGUCCUCACAGUGUCUCCAUCAUGGACGAGUCCUGGAGACUCAGUGACUCUGACCUGCAGUGUUGGACCUCCGUCUGCAGGAUGGAGGUUCUUCUGGUAUAAGGCUGUUCCACAACUGUCAGACUACUACCCCUACUACACCUAUGAGCUUCUAGCUGGUGGCACCACUGGGACUGAACAGGAUUCCUACAUUCUUCAUGGACAGACACA